rnacentral:rRNA from 1 species
UACAGAGGUCUCAAGCGUUGUUCGGAUUCAUUGGGCGUAAAGGGUGCGUAGGCGGCGCGGUAAGUCGGGUGUGAAAUCUCGGAGCUUAACUCCGAAACUGCAUUCGAUACUGCCGUGCUUGAGGACUGGAGAGGAGACUGGAAUUUACGGUGUAGCGGUGAAAUGCGUAGAUAUCGUAAGGAAGACCAGUGGCGGAGGCGGGUCUCUGGACAGUUCCUGACGCUGAGGCACGAAGGUCAGGGGAGCAAACGGG